CAGUCGCCACGGGAAUACGUAGGUGGCAAGCGUUGUCCGGAAUUAUUGGGCGUAAAGGGCUCGCAGGCGGUUUCUUAAGUCUGAUGUGAAAGCCCCCGGCUCAACCGGGGAGGGUCAUCGGAAACUGGGAAACUUGAGUGCAGAAGAGGAGAGUGGAAUUCCACGUGUAGCGGUGAAAUGCGUAGAGAUGUGGAGGAACACCAGUGGCGAAGGCGACUCUCUGGUCUGUAACUGACGCUGAGGAGCGAAAGCGUGGGGAGCGAACAGGAUUAGAUACCCCUGUAGUCCCUGUCUCUUAUAA
rnacentral:rRNA from 1 species